AGGUGGAGUGGCAGUUGCUGUAGAGAGGUCCAUUGCAUGUCAACAUGUGGACGUCCAUUCGUCACUUGAAGCUGAAGUGAUCUGAGCAGUUUUCGAUAAGAAGAUGCGUGGUGUGGAACAGUGAAAAUUCAACAGAAACUGCAAUGAAGAGACCAACCAUCUCCUCCAGCUCCCAACUCUUCCAGUGCUCCGCCAAAGGCCAUGGAGGUGUGUGCCACCGGUGGACAAAGUGCAUCAUGUUGUGACCCCAACC